ACAAAGAAGUACGUGGAAAAGUUAUUGUUUAAUUUUGCUUCGUGUGCUUUUCAAUGUGUCAUUUGGUUUGGCCAUGUAGCACCUGAGUCAAUGUGAAGUUAAAUUGAAGCUAACACUACACCGGCAUUAUCCAGUUCAAAUGACAAAUAACACGUAGCGAAAUUAAAAAAUAACCUUUCCACUCACUUCUUUAC